ACGGGUGAGUAACACGUAUCCAACCUGCCGUCUACUCUUGGACAGCCUUCUGAAAGGAAGAUUAAUACAAGAUGGCAUCAUGAGUCCGCAUGUUCACAUGAUUAAAGGUAUUCCGGUAGACGAUGGGGAUGCGUUCCAUUAGAUAGUAGGCGGGUAACGGCCCACCUAGUCUUCGAUGGAUAGGGGUUCUGAGAGGAAGGUCCCCCACAUUGGAACUGAGACACGGUCCAA
rnacentral:rRNA from 1 species